rnacentral:lncRNA from 1 species
AGGCUGGCAAAGUCUCCGGAGGUGGGAGGGCAGUUAGCAUUUUACAGUUGUUAUCACUCUGGUGCAAUGACAUCCUUGCCCACCCAAGCUGCUGAGCUGAAGAGGCCAGGCUGAUGGAAACACAGCGUCUCAGAUGGGUGAGCAGGAAUAGCAUGACCCUGAGGUACUGUACUAGGGUAUUUUAUCACAGCAAUUGGAAUGGAACUAGAACAGGCAACAUCUCUAGAGCAAUACCUCCUCGCCCUGAUCAAUAAGGACUUCUCCCAGAGUGCCUGAUACACUGCUCCAAAAGGGGAGACGGGCCUGAUGAACUCCACCCCUGGCUUUGUACUAGCUCAUGCUAGCUGUUCCUUUUCCUGCCAGUAAUCUAGCCUUCCUAACAGCAGCUCUGGGUUAUUCUUUGGAGAACUACCUUCUCCAUUACUUUCCUAGAUCCCUCUUGUUUGGGUAGAAUUGACCAUACUACCUCCAGUUCAGAAGGCAGAUCAUAAGAUCAAAGCAUGACUUAAAAAUGCCUUUCAUUUUUUUCUGCCACCAGAGGUUUAUGGAUGAACAUGUAGCCCAAACUAGACUUUGAAGAUUAGCCUUGGGAAUUACACUGCACUGACUGGAAAAAAAAAAAAAAAAAAAAAAAAAAAAAACCUUCUCUCG